AACGCGAAGAACCUUACCAACCCUUGACAUCCUGUGCUACAUCCAGAGAUGGAUGGUUCCCUUCGGGGACGCAGUGACAGGUGCUGCAUGGCUGUCGUCAGCUCGUGUCGUGAGAUGUUCGGUUAAGUCCGGCAACGAGCGCAACCCACAUCCUUAGUUACCAGCGGUUCGGCCGGGAACUCUAAGGAAACUGCCCGUGAUAAGCGGGAGGAAGGUGUGGAUGACGUCAAGUCCUCAUGGCCCUUACGGGUUGGGCUACACACGUGCUACAAUGGCAGUGACAAUGGGUUAAUCCCAAAAAACUGUCUCAGUUCGGAUUGUUCUCUGCAACUCGAGAGCAUGAAGUCGGAAUCGCUAGUAAUCGCGUAACAGCAUGACGCGGUGAAUACGUUCCCGGGUCUGUACACACCG
rnacentral:rRNA from 1 species